rnacentral:rRNA from 1 species
GACGAACGCUGGCGGCGUGCCUAAUACAUGCAAGUCGAGCGGAUGACGGAGGAGCUUGCUCCUCCUGAUUCAGCGGCGGACGGGUGAGUAACACGUGGGCAACCUGCCCUGUAGAUUGGGAUAACUCCGGGAAACCGGGGCUAAUACCGAAUAAUCCUUCGGACCUCAUGGUCCGAUGUUGAAAGACGGUUUCGGCUGUCACUACAGGAUGGGCCCGCGGCGCAUUAGCUAGUUGGUGAGGUAACGGCUCACCAAGGCCACGAUGCGUAGCCGACCUGAGAGGGUGAUCGGCCACACUGGGACUGAGACACGGCCCAGACUCCUACGGGAGGCAGCAGUAGGGAAUCUUCCACAAUGGACGAAAGUCUGAUGGAGCAACGCCGCGUGAGUGAAGAAGGUUCUCGGAUCGUAAAACUCUGUUGUGAGGGAAGAACAAGUACCGGAGUAACUGCCGGUGCCUUGACGGUACCUCAUUAGAAAGCCACGGCUAACUACGUGCCAGCCGCCGCUGUAA